UACAGAGGUCCCAAGCGUUGUUCGGAUUCAUUGGGCGUAAAGGGUGCGUAGGCGGCGCGGUAAGUCAGGUGUGAAAUCUCGAGGCUCAACCUCGAAACUGCACUUGAUACUGCCUUGCUCGAGUACUGGAGAGGAGAUUGGAAUUUACGGUGUAGCAGUGAAAUGCGUAGAUAUCGUAAGGAAGACCAGUGGCGAAGGCGAAUCUCUGGACAGUUACUGACACUGAGGCACGAAGGCCAGGGGAGCAAACGGG
rnacentral:rRNA from 1 species